AUCCAGCCGAUGAGUCUAAAAUGAGACGAAACGUCCUUCCAGGAU
rfam:Schistosoma haematobium scaffold14_17, whole genome shotgun sequence.